UACGUAGGGUGCAAGCGUUGUCCGGAAUUAUUGGGCGUAAAGAGCUCGUAGGCGGCUCGCCGCGUCGGCUGUGAAAACCCGGGGCUCAACCCCGGGCCUGCAGUCGAUACGGGCGGGCUGGAGUCCGGCAGGGGAGACUGGAAUUCCUGGUGUAGCGGUGAAAUGCGCAGAUAUCAGGAGGAACACCGGUGGCGAAGGCGACAUCCUGGACCGGCAUUGACGCUGAUGAGCGAAAGCCAGGGGAGCAAACGGG
rnacentral:rRNA from 1 species